AUUGAACGCUGGCGGCAUGCUUUACACAUGCGAGUCGAACGGUAACAGGCCGCAAGGUGCUGACGAGUGGCGAACGGGUGAGUAAUGCAUCGGAACGUGCCCAGUCGUGGGGGAUAACGCAGCGAAAGCUGCGCUAAUACCGCAUACGAUCUAUGGAUGAAAGCGGGGGACCGUAAGGCCUCGCGCGAUUGGAGCGGCCGAUGUCAGAUUAGGUAGUUGGUGGGGUAAAGGCUCACCAAGCCAACGAUCCGUAGCUGGUCUGAGAGGACGACCAGCCGCACUGGGACUGGGAAACGGCCCAGACUCCUACGGGAGGCAGCAGUGGGGAAUUUUGGACAAUGGGCGCAAGCCUGAUCCAGCAAUGCCGCGUGCAGGAAGAAGGCCUUCGGGUUGUAAACUGCUUUUGUACGGAACGAAACGGUCCUGGUUAAUACCCGGGGCUAAUGACGGUACCGUAAGAAUAGGCACCGGCUAACUACGUGCCAGCCGCCGCAGUAACAC
rnacentral:rRNA from 1 species